rnacentral:rRNA from 1 species
AUUGAACGCUGGCGGCAUGCCUUGCACAUGCAAGUCGAACGGCAGCACGGGUGCUUGCACCUGGUGGCGAGUGGCGAACGGGUGAGUAAUACAUCGGAACAUGUCCUGUAGUGGGGGAUAGCCCGGCGAAAGCCGGAUUAAUACCGCAUACGAUCUACGGAUGAAAGCGGGGGACCUUCGGGCCUCGCGCUAUAGGGUUGGCCGAUGGCUGAUUAGCUAGUUGGUGGGGUAAAGGCCUACCAAGGCGACGAUCAGUAGCUGGUCUGAGAGGACGACCAGCCACACUGGGACUGAGGCACGGCCCAGACUCCUACGGGAGGCAGCAGUGGGGAAUUUUGGACAAUGGGCGAAAGCCUGAUCCAGCAAUGCCGCGUGUGUGAAGAAGGCCUUCGGGUUGUAAAGCACUUUUGUCCGGAAAGAAAUCCUUGGCCCUAAUACGGUCGGGGGAUGACGGUACCGGAAGAAUAAGCACCGGCUAACUACGUG